rnacentral:rRNA from 1 species
CCUACGGGUGGCAGCAGUGGGGAAUAUUGCACAAUGGGGGAAACCCUGAUGCAGCGACGCCGCGUGAGUGAAGAAGUAUUUCGGUACGUAAAGCUCUAUCAGCAGGGAAGAAAAAAAGUCCUUUGGACUUUGGACGGUACCUGACCAAGAAGCCCCGUCUAACUACGUGCCAGCAGCCGCGGUAAUACGUAGGGGGCAAGCGUUAUCCGGAUUUACUGGGUGUAAAGGGAGCGUAGACGGCAGCGCAAGUGGGGAGUGAAAUGCCGGGGCCCAACCCCGGAACUGCUUUUGAAACUGUGCAGCUGGAGUGCAGGUGAGGUAAGCGGAAUUCCUAGUGUAGCGGUGAACUGCUUAGAUAUUAUACGGAAC